rnacentral:rRNA from 1 species
GACGAACGCUGGCGGCGCGCUUAACACAUGCAAGUCGAACGGAAAGGCCUCUUUCGGGGGGUACUCGAGUGGCGAACGGGUGAGUAACACGUGAGUAACCUGCCCUUGACUUUGGGAUAACUUCAGGAAACUGGGGCUAAUACCGGAUAGGAGCUCCUGCUGCAUGGUGGGGGUUGGAAAGUUUCGGCGGUUGGGGAUGGACUCGCGGCUUAUCAGCUUGUUGGUGGGGUAGUGGCUUACCAAGGCUUUGACGGGUAGCCGGCCUGAGAGGGUGACCGGCCACAUUGGGACUGAGAUACGGCCCAGACUCCUACGGGAGGCAGCAGUGGGGAAUAUUGCACAAUGGGUGGAAGCCUGAUGCAGCAACGCCGUGUGCGGGAUGACGGCCUUCGGGUUGUAAACCGCUUUCGCUCAUGACGAAGCUUUGUGUGACGGUAGUGGGUAAAGAAGCACCGGCUAACUACGUG